AGAAGACUCCUCAAUAAAAAGAACACUACUCAGCAAGUGGAAGGAGUACACAGGAUUGAGCCCUAAGAAAGGCAAGCUUCUGAAAACUUGUAGCUGUUUGAAAUAGAAAUCAUUUCAGUCGUGUCUGACUCUGUGCGACCCUAUAGAUGGCAGCCCACCAGGCUCCCCCGUCCCUGGGAUUCUCUAGGUCUCCAGAAUGACUAGAACCAUCUUGGCGGAGUGACACCUAAAGAUACAAACUGCAGGCAUCCGGACCUGAUAUAUAAAAUCCUCUAUGUUGAGCCUGAGUCUGAUGUUGGAAUGGAAUCACAUGGUGAAGGCAAUGUUUGGUUACAUGCAGGAUUGUAUUAUGGGUUGUACUGUGUCCUCCUAAAGUUAUGCUGGUAUCUUAACUACCAGUACCUCAGAAAUAUGAUCUUUUUGGAAAUAAUGUUGUAAAUGGAAUUAAUUAAGAUGGGGUCACAGUGGGGUAGGGUGCAUGGCCCCAUAAUCCAUUGUAACUGGUAUGAAGAGACACAAGAGGGAGAACACGGCCAUGUGAGAAUGGAGACAGAGAUUAUAGGGAAGCAUCUGCAAGUCAAAGAACACCCAGGAUUUCAACUUCAAGAACCAGAAGAGGCAAUGCAGGAUACUUCUGCUUAGGUUUCAGAAGCACCAUGGUCCUGCUCAAAACUUGAAUUUUUCUUCUGGCCUCCAGAACUACUGUGAGACAACAAAUUCCUACUGAUUUAAGUCACCCAGUUAGUGGUAUUUCUUAUGGCAGCCCUAGGAAACUGAUAUGGCAGUGUGUAUAUUUUUGUCUGUGGGAAAGAUAUAAAUAAUCUGUAGCCAGAGGGAGAACUAUGGUAGAUUAAAAGUGACUAUAAAUUUUUUGCCACACCUCUCAGUAGGAGGGAUGGUUUAUUUUUUCCUCCUCUUGAAUCUGGCUGACCUUAUGAUUUUAUUUGACCAAUAAAAUG
ensembl:lncRNA